rnacentral:misc_RNA from 1 species
UUAGUCGGUUGCGGCCACAGCUGAUUUCACAUGUGCCUCCGAUCGCGUCGUACGCUCGCUCCGCGCGCCAUGCCGGCAAAACAUUGAAACUUGUAAUAAAAAUAUACGGGAAAACGUUGGACUUUGGAAAAUUGUGAUUUUGUGAAAAUUGGACGUUUGGUUCUGUUUGGGUAUUGAUUUGGGAGAAGUGGGUUCCGGAUUUUUUGCAUUGGCGGAAAUGCCUAGGUGAGCCGCGAUGCGCAGCGACAUGGCGUACCGCGGGCUCUCGCAGCACGUGGAGCUGGACCGCGCGGCCGACCCGCGCGACCGGUUCACGCUGCAGGAGCUCAUAGGCGAGGGCACGUAUGGCGAGGUCUACUGCGCGAGGGACAAGAAGAGCGGCAGGCGAGUCGCCGUCAAGAUCUUGGAGAACAUCACUGAAAACAUCGAAGAAAUCGAGGAGGAAUUCCUAGUGUUCCGAGACUUGUCCAGCCAUCCGAACAUUCCUGAAUUCUUCGGGCUAUUCUUGAAGCGCGGAGCCUGUUCUGAUGAUGACCAGAUAUGGUUCGUCAUGGAGCUCUGUACUGGAGGUUCAGUGACAGAUCUAUGCGCUGGUAUCCGCGAGCACGGAAACAACCUCACAGAACCCCAACUGGCCUACGUCCUGCGAGGCACAGUCCGGGCUCUUACCCACCUCCAUGCCCACCGCUGCAUGCACCGGGACGUCAAGGGCCAUAACAUCCUACUCACUGAGAACGGCGAAGUGAAACUCGUCGAUUUCGGAGUUUCCUCACAUUUAGCUGCGACUGCUGCGCGGAGAAACACUUCAGUGGGCACGCCUUACUGGAUGGCGCCAGAGGUCAUAGCGUGUGAACAGCAGUUGGACCAGUCCUACGAUUGCCGAUGCGACGUUUGGUCAGUCGGCAUCACCGCUAUCGAACUUGCAGAAGGCGAACCUCCCUUAUCAGGACUUCAUCCAAUGAGGGCAUUGUUCCAAAUACCACGAAAUCCACCACCUACUUUAGCACACCCUGAGCUGUUCUCAUCACAGUUAGCAGAUUUCAUCGCUGAAUGUCUGGUCAAAGAUAUGAACCAAAGACCAUUCGCGAGGGAACUUCUAGAACAUCCUUUGUUAUUAGCUGUCAGUAGUUUUGAAGAAAAGAUACGCAAGGAGCUUCAAACAGAAAUAAAACGCCAACGAGCAGAAGGCCGAAGCUGCCGCGCCCCCGACGUAACAACAAAAAGAGGAAAACUAAAAUCACAUAGAAAAGCAAAACCAGAAAAAAUGUAUACUGAUGAUCUAGCAACAUUAGAAGUACUGACAGAAGAUGCCAUCGUAGAGCAACUGCAGAAGAGAUAUAACCAAAAUCAAAUAUACACUUACAUAGGAGAUAUACUUGUGGCGGUCAAUCCUUUCACUGACAUAGGUAUUUACACUACCAAGAGUCAGCAAAUAUACCAAGGCCGUUGCCGCUCGGACAACCCUCCACACAUUUACGCUGUAGCAGAUGCAGCUCACCAAGCUCUGAUGCAUCAGAAACAGCACCAAGCCAUAGUUAUCUCAGGGGAAAGUGGGGCGGGUAAGACGGAGUCGGCUAACCUCUUGUUGAAGCAGCUGGUCUUUCUGUCAAAGACACAAACGGGUAACGUAGAAGAUAAAAUCCUGCAAGUAAACCCUAUCAUGGAGGCAUUCGGAAACGCUCGAACAGGCAUUAACGCCAACAGCUCCCGCUUCGGCAAAUAUUUGGAUUUGUCUCUCAUGAGAGUCGGCAGGAUAUCGGGGGCGCGGAUUUCUGUUUACCUUUUGGAACAAUCGAGGGUUGUACACCAGGCGUUAGGCGAAAGCAAUUUCCACGUAUUCUACUAUCUGUAUGAUGGCUUGGAGAGUGAAGGGCGAUGGAGGAAGUUUUACCUUGAUGAACAACUUAAAUCUAGACAUCGAUACUUACAACCACUUUCUGUUGCUCAUCGGGAACAUAAUGUUCAUCGCUGGCGGCAGUUAAAUCAAGCGUUUAAGGUGGUCGGAUUUCAAGAGGAGGAGGUACAAAUAAUUUACAAAAUGCUGUCGGCAAUAUUGCACCUCGGUGAUAUAGAAUUUGGGGAGACCGCGGGUGAAGAUAACACUGAUAACAGAGCUACCAUUAUAGACACAGCACCUUUGCAUAGAGCAUCGUGUCUGCUAGGCGUAGAAACAUCAGACCUUCGCGAAUGCCUGACUAGCAGCAGUGUGGUGGCCCGAGGGGAGACCAUAGCCCGACACUGCUCGCCCACUGAAGCGGCUGUGGCAAGGGACGCAACCGCCCGCGGCCUGUACGCGCGAGCCUUCGACAGAAUUGUAGAGAGGAUCAACGCUCUGCUGUGUCAGAAUAGACCGUAUGGCACUGAACAACUAUCCAUCGGAAUAUUAGAUAUCUUCGGAUUUGAAAACUUUAAUAGAAACUCCUUUGAACAACUCUGUAUCAACAUUGCCAAUGAACAAAUACAGUACUAUUUCAAUCAGCAUAUAUUUACCUGGGAGCAGCAAGAGUAUAUGGCAGAAGGAGUGCCCGUUGAUCUUGUCGAGUUCUCCGACAACAGGCCUGUCUUGGACAUGUUAUUGUCAAGACCUAUGGGUCUAUUAGCUCUGCUUGAUGAAGAGAGCCGAUUCCCAAGAUCUACUGAUAGAAGUCUUAUUGAAAAAUUCCACAAUAAUCUAAAAAGCAAAUACUACGUCCGACCGAAAUCCGAUGCUAUAUGCUUUGCCAUUCACCACUUCGCCGGCCGCGUAGUCUACCAAGCCGACGGUUUUCUAGAGAAAAACCGAAAUUUCUUGCCUCCAGAAGUGGUUCAAUUGAUGCGACAGAGCCAAUACGAUAUCAUUAGGUUCCUUUUCCAGUGUCCGAUUACAAAGACUGGCAAUUUAUAUUCACCUCUCCAAGGAGAUAUGGACACAAAUAGAAGUUUAGACAGUUCAUGUGAUACUCGGCAGGACCGCUACAACAGUCGUGGGCUCGCCUCACAAUCUCGCGCUCAGCAAACAGUGUCCACUUAUUUCCGAUAUUCUUUAAUGGAACUGCUCCAGAAAAUGGUCAGUGGCUCACCACAGUUCGUGAGAUGUCUGAAACCAAACGAUUCGCGAUCACCAAAACAUUUUGAUUCUGCGAAAAUAUUGAAGCAGCUUAGAUACACGGGUGUUCUAGAAACUAUUAGGAUAAGACAAAAUGGAUUUUCCCAUCGAUUAACAUUUGAAGAAUUUUUGAAGAGGUACAGUUUCUUAGCAUUCAACUAUAACGAAGAAGUAAAACCGAACCGAGACACGUGCCGUCUUUUGCUUUUGCGGCUAAAGAUGGACGGCUGGGCGCUAGGGAAAUCUAAAGUCUUCUUGAAGUAUUAUCACGUUGAAGUACUCGCCCGAAUCUACGAAGAACAGAUUCGGAAAGUAGUAUUAGUACAAGCAUGUGGUCGAGGAUGGCUCGCCCGAAGGUACUUCCUGCGGCUGAAGGCCCAGAUGGCGAUAUCUGUUCUCACGCUGCAGAAACACGUGAGGGGCUGGCUCACCAGGAAACGACUCCAGGAGCGACAGAGACAGCUCGCCAGGGAGUUCCAGAGGCAACAGAUGGAACAGGACAGUCGGAAACAUAAACCUGGUGCUGCAUUAAUUAAAAACAAGGCCAUGAUGAAAGCGAAGAUAUUAAGGAAGAUGACGUCAAACGAUAGUGACAGCAACGACACCAAUUCGGGCAGCAAUAAAGAGAACAUCGAUUCGAAUAAGGCUGCCGUUGUUAUCCAGAGUCAUUUCCGAGGCUACACGGCACGACGCAAAUGGGCGAAGGGGCGAGCGCCGCCGCCGCCGUCACAUCCAGCCCCCACGCCCCAGCAGCUCAUGCAGCAGUACUCCGUGCAAGAGCGAGCCAGCCAGCUACAGUCCUUCGCGGACCAGGUGCACGACAAAAACCAAGAGGUCCACAAGAACCUGCGCCGAAACAAGCCUGGCGUCCGGUUGCAGCAGGUGUCAAGACCCCCCGCUGAGUACCGGCCUCCACCUGGCUUCACGCUCGUGCCUGCCAUCGUGCGCGGCCAGGUGACGCAGCUUGAACAGGACGCCAGUCGCCUUUCCAGUCCCUCGCCAGAAUUCCUAGAGAACCCUGCGAGGCCCUGGGAUGAACCCUUGAUUAGUAAAGAAUAUGAGUUCAGUCCAUUCAGAUCCAACCGAAGCAACCAGCAGCCGGAGCAGUGCGGCGAGCACCGGCACCACCUGGCCAGCCAGAACUGGCAGAACCUGCCCUGCAGCCGCCAGUGCGGCGGCCUCGUCAGGUAUGCCCGCGACGACGACUACACUAACUUCUGGCCGUGAUUCCAUCUAAUCCUUGUCUUGUGCAUGCUUUACGCGCGGAACCAGGAAACCUUGUAAUAAGAUAAUCGAGCUGGUAAAGCAGUCUCACAAGGCAGACCCUCCACCACGACCAGUCUACAAACUAACACCACACGACCCCGAGUCAGACUUCCGAAAGAUUCUCCGCAACUCACCAGAAAUCCU